UAGAUUGAAGCCAGUUGACUAGGGUAUUUAGCUGUUAACUAAAUUUUCGUGGGGUUUGAACCCAUCAAUCUAG
rnacentral:tRNA from 1 species